rnacentral:misc_RNA from 1 species
GAUGAAGAACGUAGUGAAAUGCGAUAAGUAGUGUGAAUUGCAGAAUUCAGUGAAUCAUCGAAUCUUUGAACGCACAUUGCGCCCGCCAGUAUUCUGGCGGGCAUGCCUGUUCGAGCGUCAUUUCAACCAUCAAGCCCCCGGCUUGUGUUGGGGACCUGCGGCUGCCGCAGGCCCUGAAAAGCAGUGGCGGGCUCGCUGUCACACCGAGCGUAGUAGCAUACAUCUCGCUCUGGGCGUGCUGCGGGUUCCGGCCGUUAAACCACCUUCAUAACCCAAGGUUGACCUCGGAUCAGGUAGGAAGACCCGCUGAACUUAAGCAUAUCAAUAAGCGGAGGA